rfam:Microgenomates (Curtissbacteria) bacterium GW2011_GWC2_38_9 TT12_C0019, whole genome shotgun sequence.
GCCGAAGUGGCGGAACCGGUAGACGCGCAGCGUUCAGAGCGCUGUGAGCAUUAGCUCGUGGAGGUUCAAAUCCUCUCUUCGGCA